rnacentral:sRNA from 1 species
GUGCGGACUUGCUGCGGCGCGAUGAAAUGAAUAUGGGUGUCGAUGCCGCCGGCGGUGAGGAUGAGCCCUUCACCGGCGAUUGCCUCCGUGCACGCGCCGACUGCAAGACCCGGGGUCACCCCGUCCAUGGUCUGCGGGUUGCCGGCCUUGCCGAUCGCGCUGAUCUUCCCAUCCUUGAUGCCGAUAUCCGCUUUGUAGAUGCCGGUGUAAUCGACGACGAGCGCGUUGGUGAUGACCGUGUCCGGCGAUUCGGAGUCCUUCUGGACGGAUGACUGCCCCAUGCCGUCCCG